AAAUUAAUUACAAGACAACACUUUGUUAAAUCCUUAUUUUCUACAUAUUAAUUAUUAAUUGUCUUUACAUAGUAUAUAUUGUACUAGUUAUUAAAUUAGAAACCCAAGAAUAAUUAAAUAGAGGAGGAAGAAUCAACAAUUUUCAUCUCAUAAGCAAUUGCUCGAAAGUAUAUAAAUAUUGGACUCAUUUUGAAGCUCGUAUUUUAAAACGACGUGUUAUAAUUUUUAUUUUGUCAAAAUAUUAUUUUACAAAGGACAAAUUCCUGAUAAUGUUAUUUACCCAAAAAAGAAAAAGAAAAAAAAAAAGAAGGAAAGUAAAGAGAGAGAUAAGAGGAAUUGGUGCGGUGAACUUGGAAUAAGAAGGAAUGAAAACGAAAGAGGAAUAAUUAAACAUCUUUGCACUUCUUUUUCUUUUUCCUUCUUUUGCGCUCAUCUCUCCCUUUCCCCUCUUCUUCUUUCUUCCGCCUCCUUCAUCGUCUUCUUCGUUUUCUCUUCUUCUUCUUCUGCCUCCUUCAUCAUCCCUCCACUCACUUCUGUUCCCCACCACGUCUGUCUCUCCACUUCCCCUUGUCCCCCACGCUUAUUCCUCGCUUCGUCUCUGUCAUACACUCCUCCUUUUACUUUAAUACAAAUGAAACCUUAUAAAUAAAAUGGGAGUUAAUCCAGAAGGGGGGAGGAUUUUUAGUUUUUGGGGAGGGAACUGAGCAUCGUUUUAGAAAAAGAGGGAUUUUUGUUGAGCAAGAAACCUAAGAAACUUGGACAAAAGAUCUGGAAUCUACAAAUUUUCCUUAAAAAAACACAGUUACUUUAAUCGGGUUCGUUCGAGUUCAAGUAGAGAUCCGAGAUUCAUACCCCGUUCACUGCACCUACAAAAGGAUGAAGAAGCUUUCUUUAGGGAUUAUGCUAUAUCACACAAUAAGCUCUCUGAGCUAGGUUUUACCCCUAGUUCAUCUGGUUCCAAGGUGACAGUGAAGGACAGCACUAUAUUGGCGCAAAGUGCUGUAGGUAUUGUUGUUGCUGCUGUGGUGGUGGUACUAUGUUACUUAUAUGAAGGCCGAAAAAGGAUGAAGUGAGCUUCGGUAUCAGCGCUACAAAUUGCUUUGUUACCUUGUACCAACUACAUGAGUUAGUGUACCUCAUUUUUGGUGUUCACUCUCCUUCCUGAAAUUACAGCCUGAAGAGCCAUCUAAUUGGAUUAAAUAGAAAGAUACAUUAGUAAGCUGGUUGUCCCAUUAUUGUAUAAACGUUCAAAAUUGUUUGUUGGACUUUUUGGAGUUAUCUGAUUCCUUUCUGCUUUGGCUUUCCUCA